rnacentral:rRNA from 1 species
UCCUGGGCCCACAGAACGACAGGGCUACGAACGGACUUAGGAUGUUUUCAUUAACCAAGAACGAAAGUUGGGGGCUCGAAGACGAUCAGAUACCGUCCUAGUCUCAACCAUAAACGAUGCCGACCAGGGAUCAGCGGAUGUUGCUUAUAGGACUCCGCUGGCACCUUAUGAGAAAUCAAAGAUUUUGGGUUCCGGGGGGAGUAUGGUCGCAAGGCUGAAACUUAAAGGAAUUGACGGAAGGGCACCACCAGGAGUGGAGGCUGCGGCUUAAUUUGACUCAACACGGGGAAACUUACCAGGUCCAGACAUAGUAAGGAUUGACAGA